CAGCAGUGGGGAAUAUUGCACAAUGGGCGCAAGCCUGAUGCAGCCAUGCCGCGUGUAUGAAGAAGGCCUUCGGGUUGUAAAGUACUUUCAGCGGGGAGGAAGGUGUUGAGGUUAAUAACCUCAACAAUUGACGUUACCCGCAGAAGAAGCACCGGCUAACUCCGUGCCAGCAGCCGCGGUAAUACGGAGGGUGCAAGCGUUAAUCGGAAUUACUGGGCGUAAAGCGCACGCAGGCGGUCUGUCAAGUCGGAUGUGAAAUCCCCGGGCUCAACCUGGGAACUGCAUUCGAAACUGGCAGGCUAGAGUCUUGUAGAGGGGGGUAGAAUUCCAGGUGUAGCGGUGAAAUGCGUAGAGAUCUGGAGGAAUACCGGUGGCGAAGGCGGCCCCCUGGACAAAGACUGACGCUCAGGUGCGAAAGCGUGGGGAGCAAACAGGAUUAGA
rnacentral:rRNA from 1 species